rnacentral:rRNA from 1 species
GACGAACGCUGGCGGCGUGCCUAAUACAUGCAAGUCGAGCGCAGGAAACUGACGGAACUCUUCGGAGGGAAGGCAGUGGAAUGAGCGGCGGACGGGUGAGUAACACGUAAGGAACCUGCCUCAAGGAUUGGAAUAACUCCGAGAAAUCGGAGCUAAUACCGGAUAGUUCAACGGACCGCAUGGUCCGCCGAUGAAAGGCGCUCCGGGGUCACCUUGAGAUGGCCUUGCGGUGCAUUAGCUAGUUGGUGGGGUAACGGCCCACCAAGGCGACGAUGCAUAGCCGACCUGAGAGGGUGAUCGGCCACACUGGGACUGAGACACGGCCCAGACUCCUACGGGAGGCAGCAGUAGGGAAUCCUCCACAAUGGACGAAAGUCUGAUGGAGCAACGCCGCGUGAGCGAUGAAGGCCUUCGGGUCGUAAAGCUCUGUUGUUAGGGAAGAACAAGUACCGGAGUAACUGCCGGUACCUUGACGGUACCUAACCAGAAAGCCACGGCUAACUACGUGCCAGCAGCCGCGGUAAGAC